rnacentral:rRNA from 1 species
GACGUAGGAGGCGAGCGUUGUCCGGAUUCAUUGGGCGUAAAGAGCACGCAGGCGGUUUGGCAAGUCGGAUGUGAAAACCCGAAGCUCAACUUCUGGCCUGCAUCCGAUACUGCCCGACUAGAGGUAGGUAGGGGAGAUCGGAAUUCCUGGUGUAGCGGUGAAAUGCGCAGAUAUCAGGAGGAACACCGGUAGCGAAGGCGGAUCUCUGGGCCUUACCUGACGCUCAGGUGCGAAAGCUAGGGGAGCAAACAGG